rnacentral:lncRNA from 1 species
CUGAAGUGAUCUGCCCACCUCGGCUUCCCAAAGUGCUGGGACUGCAGGUGUGAGCCACUGCGCCUGGCCCCUUCAGGUGGGUUUUGAGGCUUCACGUUGCUGCUGCAAUAAAUUACCACACACUUAGUGGCUUAAAACAGCACAGAGGUAUUCCCUUACAUUUCUGAAGGCCAGAAUUCUAAAAUCAGUCCCACUGAGUCAAGGUGGGAGCAGGGUCAGUGCCUUCCCAGGCUCUGCGGGAGAAUCUGUUUCCUGGCCCUGGAGGCGGCCUGUACUCCUUAGCUUGUGCUGCCCUUCUGGAAUGACUCGAGUUUCCUGCUUUCAUCACUACACCUCCCACCGCUCUCCAUCACCUGCUGUGCUCUUACGAGGAUCCAGCUGAGACAUGUUUUAGGAAGUUUGCUAAAAGACCCCUGGAGACGUCCUCAUUGUGGCCUCCCUGCUGUUGUGUUUAAUUUGGUUGAUCUUCUCUGCCCUCCUGCUUUUCAGAAUUAAAAGGCUAAAAAGAGUUUUCAGAGAAAUGGAAUAAUUGUAUUGCUGAUCUACGUAAACAAGUUGAAGAAUUGUCUGAAAGAAAAUAUGGUGUGUCUGAACUGGAAAAGUCCUGUGAUAGUUUGUUCAUGAGCAUUUACACAAUGGAGUUACUGUUCAUCAUGGGGGUACUGUGGACAAGCCCAGGGCUGCUGACAUAAUCUUAUGAAUUCAACACAUGAAGAUUUACAACUUGAUAAACCAGCUUCAGGAGAUCAGAACUUCUUACAAUACAACUGAUGUUACUCAGCCUAGAACAAAUACAACAGGGAUUGUGCUGCAUUCUGACUUAGGUUCUGCCAUCGAACACAGAAUGCCCUGAUCCUUAGAGGCAGAGGCAGCUCUUCAGCCUAUGGGAAAACUGUGGAUUUAGUUACUCCACUCUGCCAUGUCCUUCCACCACUGCCUGCACAUUUGAGACCAAGGAUAGAGAUUGGGAAAAAUCCAUAGUUCUCCUGACUCAGAGUUUGGCUCCGGCACUCUCAUUUCAGCCAUAGCUGCAGACAAAGCACACGACUGCUGGGCACUGUGGCUCAAGAGAAGGGGGAGAUGCAGGAAGAAGAUGAGCCUUAAGUCUGAACACUGAGGAAUUCAUGUGCAUCAGUCAGACCUCCUGUGCAAGGAAGGAUGUGGUUACUACGGCAACCCUGCCUGGCAGGGUUUCUGCUCCAAGUGCUGGAGGGAAGAGUACCACAAAGCCAGGCAGAAGGAGAUUCAGGAGGACUGGGAGCUGGCGGAGCGACUCCAGUGGGAGGAAGAGGCCUUUGCCAGCAGUCAGAGCAGCCAAGGGGCCCAAUCCCUCACAUUCUCCAAGUUUGAAGGAAAGAAAACCAACGAGAAGACCCACGAGGUUACCACAGUGAAGAAAUCUUCAGUGCGUCUUCCAGGGUCGGAUCAAAGAAGGCAGAAAUUCAGGAAGCAAAAGCCAGUCCUUCCAUAAACCGGCGAACCAGCAUUGAAACGGAUAGAGUGUCUAAGGAGUUCAUAGAAUUUCUCAAGACCUUCCACAAGACAGGCCAAGAAAUCUAUAAACAGACCAAGCUGUUUUUGGAAGGGAUGCAUUACAAAAGGUGCCUCCAGAAAGGGUUGAGAAGAUAAUGGAUCAGAUUGAAAAGUACAUCAUGACUCAUCUCUGUAAAUAUGCGUUCUGUCCAGAACCCCAGUGAGCCUGGAAGACUGGGUGCUAUGGGAAAUGUCAUCAAUCCAAUGCUAGUGAAAGAUGUGACUGGGGAAUGCUGAAAAAUGCGCACCCCUGGGAGGAAUGAGGAAAGAUGACAUCCACUGACUUGUUAUUUUUUUGAGAAGGAGUCUUGCUCUGUUGCCCAGGCUGGAGUGUGGUGGCACGAUCUCGGCUCACUGAUGAUGAGAAGAAAGAUCUUGCCAUUCAAAAGAGGAUCAGAGUGGAAGCUUCUCUGUGGUGUCAGAAAGACGAGGAAUGUGGUGACCUCACCUAUCCAUCUCCCUCAAGGCAGCUUUUGUUUUUCUGCAGUGACCGUACUUGCAAUAAUUAAACAUAGUUGGUCAUUUAAAAUACAUCUCUGAUACUCUCGUCAAAGGUGGAGCCCAGUCCCUAUCGCCUUGAGUGAGGGCUGGGUUACGUGAUUCCCUUCUGACAGAUAGGAAAAAGCAAAAGUGAUGGCUUGCAACUUUGCAAACUACAUCAUAAAAGGUACUGUGGCUUCCUCCUUGCUCACUCUUUGAUUACUCACUUGGGAAAGCCAGCUGUCACACCAUGACACCUAAGCAGCCUGUAGAGAGGCUCAUGUAACAGGAACUGAGGCCUCCUGUCAGCAGUCACAUGAGGGAGCCAUCUUGGAAACAGGCUUUAGGUGACUGCAGUCUCAGUGGACAGCUUGAGUGCAAUGUCAUGAGACACCCUGAGCCCAAAUGACCCAGCUAUGCCACUCCUGAAUUCCUGACCCACAGAAAUGGAGAUCCUAACUUAAGUUCUUGGACUCACUGAGGCAGUAAAAGAACCAUAUCCUGUGUUUGAAUCAAAUCCCAAGUUCCUGUACGUAGAAGGUUUGCCAGACAGGAUUCCCUUUCGAAGCCCUCCUGGUUUGGAAUUCCAUGACUUGAAAGGAUCGUCCAUGGGAGUAAUAAAAUCAAAUUUGUUGGUAAAAAACCUGAACUGGUUAUUUCCUACUUGCCUCCUGGAGUUGCUAAUAAAAUAAACACUAAAGCUUCGCAGUUUCUAAAAAGACCAUGAAGCCCUGAGAGUAAUGAAAAGGUUCCUGAAAUUGAGGUCACUGUGGAAGGAGAAUCUAAUGCCUGAUGAUCUGUCACUAUCUCCCAUCACCCCCAGAUGGGACCAUCUAGUUGCAGGAAAAGAAGGUCAAGACUCCCAGUCAUUCUACAUUAUGCCUCAGCCAAGAUGUCUCACCCCACUCUCUCUGAUGCAACAAGAAGCCCCUGGAGAACGUUUCAGUCCCAUUUUGUACUUCUGUCAUGUGCUCAUCACAGUCUGCAGGCUGGGUCCAUUCUCUCCCCUUUAAUUUCUCAAACACAAAGCGCCCUGCCAGAAUCUCAAGUUGGAUCUGCAGUAGAUCACCAUUAACAUAGCAGCCUGAUAUGUUGUAAGUCCUUAUGCCAGGAACUGUGCAGGAUACAAAAUGUAAGAGAAGGCUGGAAUAGAGCAUCUCUGGGGGAAACGAGAGCCAGAGAUACAGCGGUGUCCCAUGGAGACAGCCAGCUGGUGUUCGGUAGUGCUUUGUGGAAAGGCUGUACUUUGGUGGAAUUUAAAUGACCUCUUAUCAAGAUGGAUAAACCCAAGUUUCCCAGUGCUGGAAUAUAGAAAAUGGAUGGACAAGUAAGUCCCACUCAGCACCCAUAGCCCAGACAUGGGGACCUCAACACACCUGGGCCCCAGACAUCACCUUUCAUUCCGAGGCAUAUGCCAUUCAAGCUAAGGGUGCUACACUUGACCACUGCGGCAGUAUAGAUGAGUCUGAAGAAUGGUAUGGGAUGGAUACUUACGAAUGCACUCGAGCAGGGGUCUCCAUCCACAGGGCCACAGAGCCAGAGGUGAGCAGCAGCUGGAUCUACCAUGAAAGACUUCAGAGUCCAGGAAGAGAGACUGAUUGGGCAACAUGUUAUUCAGUUACAAAAAGACUUGGACUAUGACUCAAAAAUGAUCAAAUAAUAGUGCAUGCAUCCAAUGCAAUAAGAAGCACUUCUGGAGGGUGAGAGAAGCAUCCAGUUAAGGUGACAUUGAAGCUGGGUCCUGAAAGAUGAGGAAGAAUUGUAUGAGAGUGGGCAGAGAAGGGGGAGGUGGAGGGAUGGGGAAUGGGCUGAGAUGGAGUGAGCUGCUCAAGCAGGGAAACCAGCACUGUAAAGACCUGGUCAAUAAAGAUGGCACAUUUUAUUCAGGGAAUGGUGAAUUAAUUGUGGCAGGAAUGCUUUGGAGAGAGAGUAAUUUGCUUGUAUGGAAUUUUGCCCAAGAGACCUCAUUACAGUUUCUAAUCUUUUGAUGUUAUCGUCUAUCACUGUCCUUGUCAGAUAGUUUGGAAUAGGUAUAAUGAUCACAAUAACAUCAAGCAUAAUAUUUCAUUAAUUCUCACAAAAUCACAGGUAGGUGCCACAGUUAUCCCCAUUUUGUGAAUGAAGUGAUGAAGACUUAGGAAUGAUGAGUGAUUGCCCAAGCUCACCUGGAUAUUAAGAGGUCUUGCUCUGUUGUCCAGGCUGGAAUGUGGUAGUGCUAU